AGCGAACGCUGGCGGCAGGCCUAACACAUGCAAGUCGAACGAACCUUUCGGGGUUAGUGGCGGACGGGUGAGUAACACGUGGGAACGUGCCUUUAGGUUCGGAAUAACUCAGGGAAACUUGUGCUAAUACCGAAUGUGCCCUUCGGGGGAAAGAUUAAUCGCCUUUAGAGCGGCCCGCGUCUGAUUAGCUAGUUGGUUGAGGUAAUGGCUCACCAAGGCGACGAUCAGUAGCUGGUCUGAGAGGAAGAUCAGCCACAUUGGGACUGAGACACGGCCCAAACUCCUACGGGAGGCAGCAGUGGGGAAUCUUGCGCAAUGGGCGAAAGCCUGACGCAGCCAGGCCGCGUGAAUGAUGAAGGUCUUAGGAUUGUAAAAUUCUUUCACCGGGGACGAUAAUGACGGUACCCGGAGAAGAAGCCCCGGCUAACUUCGUG
rnacentral:rRNA from 1 species